rnacentral:rRNA from 1 species
CUUACCUUAAUAGUAAGAGUGACGGGCGAUGUGUGCAUAUUUUAGAGCUAAAAUCAAAAUUAUAAUCUUUUAAUUUUUACUAUCAAAUCCACCUUCAUUAAUAUAUAUAAAAACUAAAUCCGUUUAAAUAAAUUUAUUGUAACCCAUCUCUUCUUAAAUAUAAGCUACACCUUGAUCUGAUAUAAAUUCUAAAUUAAAUUAUUGAAAAUUAUUAUUCUAAUAAAAUAUUCUGAUAACGACGGUAUAUAAACUGAAAAACAAAUUUAAGUGAGGUACAUCGUGGAUUAUCAAUUACAGGACAGGUUCCUCUGAAUAGACUAAAAUACCGCCAAAUUUUUUAAGUUUCAAGAACAUAACUAAUACUACCUAAGUGCUUAUUUUUACAUUUUAAAUAAUA